GUCCUCGUGGAGCAACGAAGCUCACUCCCAUUGAUUAAUUUUCCCAAGUAGUUUGGAAUUUCAGGGAGAGCAGGUGGUUCGAACCCACCCGGGGACA